UACGAAGGGUGCAAGCGUUGCUCGGAAUCAUUGGGCGUAAAGCGCACGUAGGCGGCGCAGUAAGUCGGACGUGAAAUCCCUCGGCUCAACCGAGGACGUGCAUCCGAAACUACUGUGCUCGAGUAUGGAAGAGGGUCGCGGAAUUCUCGGUGUAGAGGUGAAAUUCGUAGAUAUCGGGAGGAACACCAGUGGCGAAGGCGGCGACCUGGGCCAAUACUGACGCUGAGGAACGAAAGCGUGGGGAGCGAACAGG
rnacentral:rRNA from 1 species